CUCUAGCAUCAACAAGGCAUUUUCGCCCACAGGACUGCUGCAUUCUGGAUGUUUUUCCCUUUUCACACCAUUCUUUGUAAACCCUAGAAAUGGUUGUGCAUGAAAAUACCAGUAACUGAGCAGAUUGUGAAAUACUCAGACCGGCCCGUCUGGCACCAACAACCAUGCCACGCUCAAAAUUGCUUAAAUCACCUUUCUUUCCCAUUCUGACAUUCAGUUUGGAGUUCAGGAGAUUGUCUUGACCAGGACCAUACCCCUAAAUGCAUAGAAGCAACUGCCAUGUGAUUGGUUGAUUAGAUAAUUGCAUUAAUGAGAAAUUGAACAGGUGUUCCUAAUAAUCUUUUAUGAUCUAUGUGAUAAUUUAAUGACCUUUAAUACUAAAAAUGGAAAUAUUCAACAACAAUUAAUUUCUCAAAAUAAUGUGGUAUCUGAUCUGUCGUAUUUAUAGAUUCUCUUUUGUCACUAUUUUACAGUUUCAAAAUUCCAACUGUUGAUGAAAUAUCAGGUUUAAUUAAACAAUCUAAGUCUUUCACUUGUCAGUUAGAUCCACUCCUCAGUCACCUGGUCAAAGCUUGUUUACUUUCUCUAUCAGGUACAGUAGCUGAUAUUAUACACUUGUGUCUCAACUCUGGUGUGGUUCCUUCAUCUUUUAAGGUUGCAGUAAUCAAUCCAAGACUUAAGAAACCAGGAGCUGACACUAUAAUUUUGCUAAUUUUUGCCCAAUUUCCAAUUUGCACUUUCACUCAA